CCUACGGGUGGCAGCAGUGAGGAAUAUUGGUCAAUGGGCGGAAGCCUGAACCAGCCAAGUAGCGUGCAGGAUGACGGCCCUACGGGUUGUAAACUGCUUUUAUACGGGAAUAACGCGCCUUACGUGUAGGGCUUUGCAUGUACCGUAUGAAUAAGGACCGGCUAAUUCCGUGCCAGCAGCCGCGGUAAUACGGAAGGUCCGGGCGUUAUCCGGAUGUAUUGGGUUUAGGGGGAGCGUAGGCCGCAUGUCAAGCGUGCGGUGAAAUGUCCGGGCUCAACCCGGGCCUUGCAGCGCGAUAUUGCGUGCUUGAGUCCGCGGAAAGCAGGCGGAAUUCGUCGUGUAGCGGUGAAAUGCUUAGAUAUGACGAAGAACCCCGAUUGCGAAGGCAGCUUGCUGCAGCGGAACUGACGCUGAUGCUCGAAAGCGCGGGUAUCGAACAGGAUUAGAUACCCUAGUAGUC
rnacentral:rRNA from 1 species